UAAUUGAAGAGUUUGAUCAUGGCUCAGAUUGAACGCUGGCGGCAGGCCUAACACAUGCAAGUCGAACGGUAACAGGGAGCAGCUUGCUGCUCUGCUGACGAGUGGCGGACGGGUGAGUAAUGUCUGGGAAACUGCCUGAUGGAGGGGGAUAACUACUGGAAACGGUAGCUAAUACCGCAUAACGUCUUCGGACCAAAGUGGGGGACCUUCGGGCCUCAUGCCAUCAGAUGUGCCCAGAUGGGAUUAGCUAGUAGGUGGGGUAACGGCUCACCUAGGCGACGAUCCCUAGCUGGUCUGAGAGGAUGACCAGCCACACUGGAACUGAGACACGGUCCAGACUCCUACGGGAGGCAGCAGUGGGGAAUAUUGCACAAUGGGCGCAAGCCUGAUGCAGCCAUGCCGCGUGUAUGAAGAAGGCCUUCGGGUUGUAAAGUACUUUCAGCGGGGAGGAAGGUG
rnacentral:rRNA from 1 species